CCCCCUGUGAGAAUGCCCACAACUCCCUGCUUGGGAACUAGGAGCCGGUAUCAGGCACAAGCCCAGCUAGCCCACGACGCCUUGCUUAGCCACACCCUCAAGGGACCUCAGCAGUGAUAAAUAUUAAGCCAUAAGUGAAAACUUGACUUAGUUAAGGUUAAGAGGGCCGGUAAAACUCGUGCCAGCCACCGCGGUUAUACGAGAGGCCCAAGUUGACAAACAACGGCGUAAAGAGUGGUUAGGGGAUUUACUAAACUAGAGCCGAACGCUUUCAAAGCUGUUAUACGCACCCGAAAGUAUGAAACCCAACUACGAAAGUAGCUCUACCUAUCCUGAACCCACGAAAGCUAAGGAACAAACUGGGAUUAGAUACCCCACUAUGCUUAGCCCUAAACAUCGAUUGCACCAUACACUCCAUAUCCGCCCGGGAAUUAUGAACGUCAGUUUAAAACCCAAAGGACUUGGCGGUGCUUAACAUCCACCUAGAGGAGCCUGUUCUAGAACCGAUAACCCCCGUUAAACCUCACCCUCUCUUGUUUUAUCC
rnacentral:rRNA from 1 species